AUCUACCUUCGGGUGGGAAUAACCCGGGGAAAACCGGGCUAAUACCGCAUAAUGCAGCGGCACNUAAUGGUGACAGUUGUUAAAGCGGGGGAUCGCAAGAUCUCGCGCCUGAAGAGGAGCCUGCGGCGGAUUAGCUAGUUGGUAGGGUAAUGGCCUACCAAGGCGACGAUCCGUAACCGGCCUGAGAGGGCGGUCGGUCACACUGACACUGACAUACGGGUCAGAUUCCUACGGGAGGCAGCAGUCGGGAAUUUUGGGCUAUGGGCGAAAGCCUGACCCAGCAACGCCGCGUGAAGGAUGAAAUCCCUCGGGAUGUAAACUUCGCAAGAACGGGAAGAAUAAGUGGAA
rnacentral:rRNA from 1 species